AUGUUGGGUUCCCAUAAAUGCUCUUGGCACAGCUGAAGGCUCCAACUGAGACAGCAGCACCUACAGCAGCAAUGAUGUUGAUCCCACUCUUCUUCAGCAGUCUCUUCUUCUUUAUUCAGGACGCCUUUGGACAAGUGACCAUCACUCAAUCCCCAGCAAUAUCCACCAGUACAGGAGGCAAGGUCACAAUCAACUGCAAACGGGCUGGAAGUGUUUACCGGGACUACUGUAGUCCAAAAUGUAUCUCCUGGUACCAGCAGAAGCCUGGGGAGAAACCCAAACUCCUCAUCUACAAUGUGAAGAGCCGCCAGUCUGGUAUUCCUGCUAGAUUCAGUGGCAGUGGAUCUGGGAAUGACUACAGUUUGACCAUCAGUGGAGUCCUGAGUGAAGAUGCUGGAGAUUAUUACUGCAUGAGUGCUCAUGAUCCUACUGUCGGUGUUGCAGAGUUCACACAGUGGUAG